CCGGCACCUGAGUUUUUUUACUCUCCUGCGUGGGCUCAGUCCACAGACUGGAUUGUGACACAUCACUGAACCCAGGAUCUAGGUGAUGUAAAUUUAUUCCUGCCUUGGCGCUCCUCACAGGGAGCACUGUGACAUAUUACUGCACCUAACACAGGGGAACCAUAACCAGGUUAUGUGACUCUCCUGCCUGUGCCUUGCCCACAUGGACCACUGUGACAUAUUGCUGGGUCUAACGUAACUCUCUUGCCUAGGUCCUAUCUACAGAAAGGAUUGUGACACAUCUCUGUGCCCAUCACACAGGUUUUGCCCAUGGGGAGCAUUGUGACACAUCACUGAGCCCAACACCAAGGUGAUGUUGCUCUUUUGCCUUGGCCCUGUGCUCAAAAAGCAUUGAGACAUAUUGCUGGUCCCAACAGCAGGUUGCUGUGUCUUCUGCCUGGACCCCGUUCACAAGGGCAUUGUGAUAUACCUCUGGGCCCAUCAACUAUUUGAUGUGUCUCUUCUGUCUUGCCUAGGCUUUCUCCAUGGAAGAUAUUGUGACAUAACUUUGGGCCCAGCACCGAGGCAAUGUGACUUUUUCCUUCUGCCUGGACCAUGCCCACAGAAGGGAUAAUGACUUAUCACUAAGCGCAGCACUCAUGAUGUAAUAUUUCUACCUGAUGUUCCUCAUAGGAAUCAUUUUGACAUGUUUCUGGGUUCAUCACCUAGUUGAUGUGACCCUUCUUAUUUUCAGACUUGUUCAAAGUGGAGAUUGCUACAUAUUGCUUGGUCCAGCUCCUGUGUGAUGUGACUCUCCUCUCAUACCUCGGUGCUCCCCACUGGAGUGAUUGCGACAUAUAGCUUGGCCCGGGCUCUAGUUUAUGUGACGUUUCUCUUGCUCCUUAGCCCUGCUCACCUGGGGGCAUUAUAACAUAUCUGAACCCAUCACCUAAGUAAUGUGACUCUCUUGCCUGAUCUCCUCAGGGUGUAUUGUUAUAUGUUGUCAGACCCAGCAACUAAGUGAUAUGACUCUUCUCUGCUGCUUGGGUUCUGUCCAAUAAAAAAUUGUGAUGUGUCA